rnacentral:lncRNA from 1 species
GUUUGUUUUCUCAUAAAAAGACUAUAUAUUAUUUAGAUACAUAUGUUCUUAGAUAAAGUGCAUUUAUGCUAACGAACAUACCAGUUUACGUAUGAAACCAGGGUACUAGGUUGACGAUACUCUCAUUUUUUUUGCUAAAUGCAUACUAUACUUGGCGUAUAACCAAUUACAAUUUACGCAACAAUAAGUUACACAUGAUUUAACCAAGUGCGUAUUUUGUCUUUCUUCCCCACCCCUUUCUUAUAAAACAAUUGUUUUUUGUAUACAUUUGCUCGACUCUUCAAUAACAACAGGCUCUAGGUCAAGUUACUAGGUAAUAUGUGCUUCAAUGAAGACAUCAACGUUGUCACAACGUGUUUCCUUGCACAUUGGAGGUUUGAAAGACUAUACACAAAAAUGGAUCGAAAAUUUAAAAGAAAUGUACAUUUGUACUAUAAACCAACUUAUUUUCGCGGAUACAUUAUUUUCGCGGAUACUUUAUUUCGAGUUUAGCCCUUUCUAGCUCAUUUCGAGGCGAUUAAAUUUCACGAUUCUCAAAUUUAAUUGGUGUAGUUUAGUAAGGAAAAAUCAAAGUUUUACAUAUUCGCGAUAUUUUUCUAUUCGAGAAAGUAAAUCACAAAUAUUAGUUGGUUUACAGUUGGUCUAACAGAUUGGCGUCUUGUUAUUAGACAUGAUAAAGUAACCCGAUGGUUCCUCCUCUUUUAAUAUACCAAAUACAAAGUAUGUCAGUAUCUAAACUUUAUUUCCUCAAACAAUCAUUUUAAUCAAUUAUUUACAAAAGUAAAAUUACAACAACUGAACUCCGAGGAAAAUUCAAAACGCAAAACCCUAAUCAAAUGGCAAAAUCAAAAUCCGAAACACUUCCAAUAUUUACAAGUUUAACCUUUUAGAAAUGAUAGACCAGGAUUUCAAUUUUGUAUUUACGCUAUAGACGCGUGUUUCGUCUACAAAAGACUCAUCAGUGACGCUCGAAUACUAUAAAAUGUUAAAAAGGGAAAAUAAAUUACGAAGUUUAAGAGCAUUGAGGACCAAAUCCUAAAAGUUUUACCAAAUACAGCUAAGGUAAUUUAUUCCUGGGAUAAAAAAAACUCCUUAGUUUUGUGAAAAUUUUUGUAACAGGAAAUUUAUAAAUAUGAGCAUAUAAUUGAUAUUCAUGUCAACACCGAAGUGCUGACUACUGGGCUGGUGAUACCCUCCAGGACGAACCAGCAGUACCUUUUUAAUAAACAUGAUAGAUCUAUACGAUUCCUCUCCUUUACCUUAGUAUGACAAACUCGCCAUAGAAGUAAACUGAUAAUUCAUUGUUCUACAAAUGUUUAGAACGAUAUGUGUUAUAUUCCUCAUGCAUGGGGACCUUAUUUAGUGAAGAAACAGUCUAUAAUACAUUGAUAAUGUUUUAAGAUUUAGAUCUGGUAUUCGUGAAAUUCAACCCAUCCCAUAUUGUUAUCUUUUGACAGAAAACCAUCUGCCCCACUUAAAUUGUUCAUGUAUCUAAAUUAAAUCAUGAUACAUUGUAUAGUAAUUUCCACACGAACUGCGCAUUUUUGCGGUUAAACUUGUUUUGGAGUUAGAACAUUACAGCGUAAACCCCGCUUGUCAGCAAGGGUGUUUAGAUUCACCAAGCGUUAUGGUCGUUUUCAUUAUAUUAAAUAUUCUGUUAGAACAGUUUGAUCUAAACUUUGGAAACUAAUAAUUUAAUUAUUAAAUUUGUUGUUUUCGAAGAGCUGACAUAACUGGAAUAUUUGUUAAAAAUAUUUAGAAUAAUUCCAUACCUCAUAAUAGCAUCGAAUCACAAUGGUCAUAUAUAAUCAGUCAGAAC